rnacentral:rRNA from 1 species
AGUACAGGUGGUGCAUGGCUGUCGUCAGCUCGUGUCGUGAGAUGUUGGGUUAAGUCCCGCAACGAGCGCAACCUUACCCUUAGUGUUUUCCCGAAAGGAUUACCCUCUAAGGGGACUGCCCCGGGACAACGGGGGAGGAAGGUGGGGAUGACGUCAAGUCCGCAUGCUCCUUACGUCUAGGGCUACACACGUCCUACAAUGGGGUCGACAGUGGGAUGCAAAGCCGCGAGGUGGAGCCAAUCCCCAAACGGCCUCUCAGUUCGGAUAGUAGUCUGCAACUCGACUACUUGAAGUCGGAAUCGCUAGUAAUGGCGGAUCAGCAUGCCGCCGUGAAUACGUUCCCGGGUCUU